rnacentral:lncRNA from 1 species
UUGACGAAAAGUCUACGAAAAUUGUCAGUCUUACUUUCGGUAAGGCAAUGUUUCGUGUAAAGGCUUACACGACAGAAGUCACUGAAGAUGUUUCUUAACAUCAGUGUCUUUCAAAGAUAACACCAGUAGGAAAGUGAUCUGUGCCCUGGAGGGCCGAACCACCUGAUCUCAUCCUGUGGGUGGGACUAGCAGAGAAAAUCAGCAGCUUCCAUGGAAACUGGACGUUGACUCUUAGCGUAAUAAAGAAGGUUCUUCCAGCACAACAUUUAGUGUUCUAGACAGUAAGUACCCAACAUUAUUUAAAGAAAAAAAAAAAAACUUUCAAGUGUACAAAUGCAAUUGAUUUAUAGAAAUGAUUGCAUUUUUGUAUGGAAUACAGAGUAUAUACAUACACACACUUGUUUGUCACAAAAAUAUUUAGUGUAAUAUAAUGUCAAUAACCAAAUCAUCAGGAUUGAUAUUGAUACCAUCCAGUCUUGAGAGUUUGAGCUGAUGAUAAUAUUUACGACAAUAUGUUACUGAAGUGUUUAUGUUUACAAACGUCAAUUCUUUUAGUGCACGAUGAAGGUUUUCAUACAUGUAUCUGGAGAAAAGAAGGGGUGAAGUUUUUAAGAUUUGGGUAAAUAGUAUUUUGCGUUGAGUUUUGCCCAAUUAUUAGAUACGCUAGUCCUUUCAUAAAAACUUUAAAUACCAACAUUUAUAGCAGAGCAUACGAAUAACAGAAACACAUUCGAUAUGUUAAUGAAAUUAAACAAUAAACAAACCUACAUAGUCCUAGCAGUCUAAAUUGCAAUCAGUAAUGCAGCAGUAUAAAUCCAAUUUCCCGAUCUUACUGUUAGCUUCCUUUUAUGAAAUAUCCGUUUAUCCAUGAGGUAUGCAUUGUCGAAAGAAAACAUCAUCGGACGGGAUUUUAAAACCACAUAAAGUUACAGAUAUACUGACAAGACUAGGAAUAAUUAAAAAUUUUAAGAGUAUGGAUGGAUGUCGGUUUAUUGUGUAGUUAUAAUUACGUUUAUUACGUAACGCGAUUUGUCACCUUCACUGUUUAUCUGAUAACUGUCACCGAUGUGCUCACUUGCUGGACAUGUCCGUUACUAUUGAAUGACGUCAACGAGAAUGAAGUAUAUUAAAAACUUUCUUGAGAUGUUUUUGCACGGCGGACACGAAGAAACAAAAGGAAUCAACAAAGUAAGGUAUGGUUACAUUUCAAUAAGAUAAGUAAAAGAUAUUAGAACAGUUUUGUGUACAUUGUAAUUUUCACGUACGAAAAAAAGCGCACCUGUCUAAGCUUGCCCACACUCACGAGCGCACAGAAAGAAAAGUCAUCUUUGUGUCACACAAAGUUACAAUUCUUUGUUCAUCAUCAGGACCUUUAUAUCAACAACAGCUGCACAAGGUGAGAUUCAAACUGGGACGUUAAAAGGAAAGAACAGUAAGUUCAGUGUGGAGGUAGGAAUGGCAACAUUAAUAAAAGUGUUUCCAAUACACUUAUGUUUUGAGAGAGAUAGAAAUUGUUACACAUUAAUCGGCUCCCUUAACAAUAUAUUAAGAGAAGAGUAUAUUUUUAUGUUGCACAGAUCGUGAGUUCAUUAAAUUUGGAAAACCAAAAUGGAUAAAAAUACUCCGUUCUUUAUAGCUUUGGAAGACUUUAUUUUCAGGUUACACAUCCCAUACGUCCAUCUGCCAGUCUCUUUUUUAUUUCCUUAUCUGUAAGUGUAAUUGAAGGGUAUUAUAAGGAAAUGUAUGCUUUUAACUCGCAUUCAUUGCAUCUUUGUUACAACAAGAAGCUGAAGCUGCUACUCAAGCUGUGAAGCAAAUUAAAUAUGUACCCAGAACAUGUGCCCACGUACCUAGUAAUGGCAAAAGGAAUGUCCGACAGUAGGAUGAGUGUAAGCCAAGAACGAAACAUAAUGAACAAUUUUUCCAGAACCCUUUAAGUAAUUGCAGUAAGAAAACUAUAAGAAACUUAAAGUAUUUUGUUUAGUUUUACUGCUAUAAACAAGCAACUUGCAGCAUAUAGAACAACCCAGACAGUACAGGGUGUUUGGUCAACAUUGGCUCAGUGCUCUCGGUGUUGGUUAUAUUUUAUAAUUUAUCUAUAUUUUUGUUUCUUGCUAGUUUUUUUUCUUCUAGGUGCUCAUUGAUUUAUGAAUUAAACACUCGAAAGGAAAAAGAUUGAACUGUUUCCAUAGGAGCUUCCACCUCUUAUAAGUCAUAUCGUAUCCUCCCCAACGAGCGGAAAUAGCUGGUUGGCCAGUUUACUUUGACUCUAGACAAACUCCAAACUCUUGUACAUUUUUAGGUAAAAAAUUUUGUUGUAAAUCUGUUGUUUUACAGAAUCAAGUGCGGAAUUUCUCUGACAAAAUCGAAUUCAACCAGACUGCUGGUUUGCCUAGUGUCAGGUAAAAGUGCAUGCCCUGGAAACAGGUACCAUGGGUAUAGUUCUUUGUUAUGUGAUCACUUUUUCUUACCCAAGUUCAAAAGGUUAUAAUUAAAUCUGUAUUAACAUGUAUUAACAUGUAAAUUUUUUUAGAUGUUCAGAGAGCAUUUAUGUGAGAGGCUUCAUUGCGUGGUAGUUAAUGCUAUCAGCAGAUAUGAUAUUAUAGGGAUGGUAAAGGAUGAUUAAGAAGAGGAUUAGAUUCUUCUAUACCCUGGAGACAGAAAACAUAUUUAUUCCAAUUUAACUGAGGUUGAAAAAAACAUUUGGAAAUAAAGAUAUAGAGAGGUAUAUAUAUUUAUCUGAAGGAAGGAAUUAAAAUGUCCCAUAAAACGGCCAUAAAUCUGACAGGCCCGUGAGGCAGAGUAUGCAACUUUUUUCCAUUGAACUGUAUAAGUAAUUAGUCAUCAGAGCAGGAGAAGGGACUGUGUUGUCUACCUCACAAAAUCGAAAGUUAAAAUCACCAGUCUACUGAAAUCCAAACAAUUAAACUAAGUAUAAGCCUUCUCAGUGAGAAUUAAUGAACACGGACAUUUCUUCCAAGUACUAACAACAAUGGAGUGUGUGUGCUCAAAAAUGACAGGAAGCAGAUGGAUGCUGCUUACUUCCUCCUAGAGUCUCUGCUACAGAGUAGAUUAUUAAUGGUCAUUUCAUUUUACUUUAAAAUGCAGUUUAAGUUUUAUUUAUUUAUUUUUCAUGAUUUGUCCUCUCGCCAUAGUACUUGUAGAAUUAUCCUUCUUAAAACAACAACUGAUUCCAGAGAGCACUUGAAGUCUGGAAUGAAUAAAAAUAAACACGGUUUUUUGUUCUUUGCUAAGACGCAAUGAUCAUCAAAAUAGAGAUGAAGAACCUCACAGAAUUUGUUUUAUGACAGGUAAGAGUACAGGUGAUUAUCUGUUGAGGCAAGUGAAUGAAGUUAGACUAUACGAACUUGUAAGGCUUUCGAAUUAAGUUGCAGACGCUCCAGUGCUGAAAUUGUCCUUCCUUCCGAAAUUUCUCCUUGAAAUUAAAAUCUCCAUUUCGCGAACGUAGAAAAAAAGUUUGGAGGGACAAUGACAGCUGAGCUUCAAUUUAUUUUUGAUUAGCAUUUUCUAAUGAAGGCGUUUGAAUAAGAAGGAAUACGCAGACAGAAUAAAGAUUAAAAACUUGACAGGGAUGUGUAAGACUGUGCAUUGGUUUUAGGGCGCUCACAGUAUGAUAGUAUUUCCUGCUUCAGAGAUGGGCAGCGAUGGUUUGACAGCAGAUUUAAUGUCCACCUCGCCAGGAUUAUUCUUGUAUUAAUCUCCUGCGAACACAGGGAUGUCUUCUAAAGUAGAGUCAGGCCUUUCGGUAUCCUGUGGGAAGGAAGUUGACCAUCUGCAUUCAAUUGAAACACUUUAGAGUUUGGUCUCUGAAAAACUUAACUGUUUAAAGUAUUGAUGCUUCCCUGUUUUUCGUACUCUUAACCGGUGACAUGUGCUAUCAAUCGUCUAGAAUAUUUAUAGUUUAAACAGUGUACUUAAAAGUUUUAGUCAUCAAAAACUCUGAAAAAAACGUGUCACAAUCCUUUCAAAAUGAUCCCCAACCUUAUCCCUAUAUUUAUUUAGUUUGGAAAACUAGCACUUAUUUUAUUUGUGUAACUGAGCACACUUUUGGGAAUAAUUAGCCACUAGGAUUAAUAAAGUUGGUCAUUGUCAUUCCAUCCAUCCAUUCAUCUGAAUGGGACAUUCAUCCCACUAUUAGCACAUUAAUUUAUAGAAACAUUAUAAAGUGCAUUGUGAUAGUAAAAGCUCUGCUCUUUGACACGGCCUUUAUUUGAACUCCGAAAGUGUGAAUAAUGAGAAUGUACCCCAGCAUGCAUCCUAGUAUUUACUGUAAUGUGUCUCAGUUUAUGUUGUUGAAUGCGCUGUCGGUCUCUGCAUCAUUAUGUCACAUGAAUCCCUAGCAUUAUUUAUUGUGAGAUAAUACCUGUAAUUUUCCUUAAAAAAUAAAUAAAGGCGCUCUUCUGCUGAAAAAAAGUAGAUAACAUUGUAAAAUUGAAAGCACAGGAGGAUUGCUAUGCUAGCUGUUCAUUGGCAUGGGCGGAAUGUGCACUAGUUUUCAACAAAGGUGACAUUGUUAAUACACAUUAAUUACAAUAAUACCUACAAGGAAAUUUAAACUUUAGGUACCUCGGAACAGACAAGUCCGCAUUUCUAUAUAAGGUCAUUCUGCCAAUCCCAAUUACAGAAGUGUAAAGACACUACACCCGAAUAUGAAGUUCUUCAAUCAAAAUUCACUGUGUCCUAUUGAUGCUUCUUACACUAACAACAAAGGUGCUUCUUUUGACAUGUGGAGAAUCUAAUUUUAGCGAAACUCUGCAUCAGAAAGAACAUGGAUUCAUAAAUAUCAGUUAUACCAUCGAGCUGACCGCAAGCUUGGUGUCGUCAGACUCGUUUACUUACAUCUAUCAGACUUGUGAUGACAAUAAGAAAGGACUCAGCUGCACCUUUGAAUGGAGAAAGAACAACAGCAGCAGAUUUGGAAAGGUGUUUGGUAAAAAAACAGGUGUGAUUUGUAUCGGGGAGCAACGAAACCUGAGCAGCUCUGUAGUGACUUUAGAUAUUCACAUUUCUCAGGUCGUCACCAGGUCACUGACUGUCAUGGAGCUUUCCCCCCUGGGAGUGAAAGAUGCCCAAAAUAACACGGAUAAUGCGUGUUGAGGUUUUGUAUCCACCCAACAUCACCAGUCUCACUGUGGAAGGACAAGAGGUUAACAAUGAUUAUGUCGUUGACAAAGGUAAGGAGGUGAAUGUUUCCUGCUUUUAUAAGCAGGGGAAUCCUCCAGCCUUUUUUCAUCUGUUGAAUAAACAUGGAACUGAACUGAAAUCUUCACACGAAGGAAGCUUGAGCUACUCUCUCACUGCCCAGUGUGAAGAUGACUGGCCGGUAGUCAGGUGUGAAGGCAACGGGACCCUGCAAAACAGAUCCGUGACAUUCCUCGUCAGGUGUUUUUAUGAAGAUGUAUGAGUACAAAUGAGUGAGUAUUUAGUGUUAGAAGAGAGAAAAUGAAACAGCAUCUUGGUGAAUGCUUUGUAUAUUAUAUUUUCUGUGCUGUAUAUCAUUUACUGUCUUCCCUUCUGUAUCCGCCACCUUUCCAUCAUCGAAUCAUUUAAACGAGCACUAUCAUCACACACGUUUUAUAAGCAUUACACUAGUGUUAAUCCAUUUUCUAACCUUUUCUUUCAGUUUUUUCUGCUUAGUAGUUGUUAAUAGUUGUGAUUAUUGAGUAGUCUGCAUGCUCGUCUAUAUCUGCAGAUUUAUUAAACUGUUGCUUUUUACUGUUUGUUCCCUGAUUCGUCUUUGCUUCUUUCAUGUUUACUUUUAUUUUAUGUCUACACUGUUGUUUCUUCUUCGGUCCUUUGUAUGCUGUCCAUGUCUCCUUCUCACUAACUGAGAGCAUGCUUCUUCGUGAGCAUAAUCAAGCGUUAAAUAUAUCACUUUCUUCUUAUUAAUCUUCUAAUUAAUAAGUUUACAAAAUUAAAAGGUUGUUUACAGAAAUGAAUUUCGUAGGUGUGUUUGAGCCUUUAGAGAUACAUAAAUAUCAGGCCUUAUACAUUCUAACCCAUGUGGAAUGCUGUGUUAUGUGACCUAAAAUACUGUUUGAUUCUAUAUUGCUCAUACAUGUUUUGUUUUAUAAUAGUAAUUAAUUUCAUCUUACCUCUGUUAAUUAUUUAAUUUUUUUUUAA